UACGUAGGGUGCAAGCGUUGUCCGGAAUUAUUGGGCGUAAAGAGCUCGUAGGCGGUCUGUCGCGUCGGAUGUGAAAAUCCAGGGCUCAACCCUGGACCUGCAUUCGAUACGGGCAGACUAGAGUUCGGUAGGGGAGACUGGAAUUCCUGGUGUAGCGGUGAAAUGCGCAGAUAUCAGGAGGAACACCGGUGGCGAAGGCAGCUCGCUGGGACGGUACUGACGCUGAGGCGCGAAAGCGUGGGGAGCGAACAGG
rnacentral:rRNA from 1 species